GAUGAACGCUGGCGGCGUGCCUAAUACAUGCAAGUUGAGCGAACAGACGAGGAGCUUGCUCCUCUGACGUUAGCGGCGGACGGGUGAGUAACACGUGGAUAACCUACCUAUAAGACUGGGAUAACUUCGGGAAACCGGAGCUAAUACCGGAUAAUAUAUUGAACCGCAUGGUUCAAUAGUGAAAGACGGUUUUGCUGUCACUUAUAGAUGGAUCCGCGCCGCAUUAGCUAGUUGGUAAGGUAACGGCUUACCAAGGCAACGAUGCGUAGCCGACCUGAGAGGGUGAUCGGCCACACUGGAACUGAGACACGGUCCAGACUCCUACGGGAGGCAGCAGUAGGGAAUCUUCCGCAAUGGGCGAAAGCCUGACGGGGCAACGCCGCGUGAGUGAUGAAGGUCUUCGGAUCGUAAAACUCUGUUAUUAGGGAAGAACAAAUGUGUAAGUAACUAUGCACGUCUUGACGGUACCUAAUCAGAAAGCCACGGCUAACUACGUG
rnacentral:rRNA from 1 species